GCGAAUGGCUCAUUAAAUCAGUUAUGGUUCCUUAGAUGGUGCACACCUACAUGGAUAACUGUGGUAAUUCUAGAGCUAAUACAUGCAACUCGGUCCCGACCGGCGACGGAAGGGACGCUUUUAUUAGAUCAAAACCAAUCGGUCUUCGGGCCGUUUGCCUUGGUGACUCUGAAUAAAUUGUGGCAGAUCGCACGGCCUCCGAGCCGGCGACGCAUCUUUCAAAUGUCUGCCUUAUCAACUGUCGAUGGUAGGUUCUGCGCCUACCAUGGUUGUAACGGGUAACGGGGAAUCAGGGUUCGAUUCCGGAGAGGGAGCCUGAGAAACGGCUACCACAUCCAAGGAAGGCAGCAGGCGCGCAAAUUACCCACUCCCGGCACGGGGAGGUAGUGACGAAAAAUAACGAUACGGGACUCAUCCGAGGCCCCGUAAUCGGAAUGAGUACACUUUAAAUCCUUUUAACGAGUAUCAAUUGGAGGGCAAGUCUGGUGCCAGCAGCCGCGGUAAUUCCAGCUCCAAUAGCGUAUAUUAAAGUUGUUGCGGUUAAAAAGCUCGUAGUCGGACUUGUGUCCCACGCUGCCGGUUCACCGCCCGUCGGUGUCUAACUGGCAUGCACGUGUGGACGUCCUGCCGGUGGCCCGAGCCGGCGCGGGCUUCGCGCCUGUCGUCCGGGGAAGGCCUAUCAUACCCGUCGCGGUGCUCUUAACCGAGUGUCUCGAUGGGCCGGCACGUUUACUUUGAACAAAUUAGAGUGCUUAAAGCAGGCAGCAUCCGCCUGAAUACCGAGUGCAUGGAAUAAUGGAAUAGGACCUCGGUUCUAUUUUGUUGGUUUUCGGAAUCCCCGAGGUAAUGAUCAAUAGGGACAGACGGGGGCAUUCGUAUUGCGACCUUGAAGGUGAAAUUCUUGGAUCGUCACAGGACGGACCGAAGCCAAAGCAUUUGCCAUCAAUGUUUUCUCUGAUCAAGAACGAAAGUUAGAGGUUCGAAGGCGAUCAGAUACCGCCCUAGUUCUAACCAUAAACAAUGCCAGCCAGCAAUCCGCCAAAGUUCCUCCGAUGACUCCGCGGGCGGCUUCCGGGAAACCAAGCCUUUUGGGUUCCGGGGGAAGUAUGGUUGCAAAGCUGA
rnacentral:rRNA from 1 species